CCCUCCACCAUCACCUCUUCGCCACAUUCUUGUUGCCGACAUCAUCACCGGCUGUCUCCGCCGACAAGGGUAUAUACAAUGAAGGUUGAAUAUGCAAAGGACACUAGAAGUUCAAAGGCCUGCCUUCCAAUGAGAGAUUAAUAUUGAUCUGAUAAUGCAUCUUUUAUGCAACUAUGUCACUGCUGCUAAGAAAUUUGAAGUUGAUAAUGCAUCUUUGGCAUUGGGUUAUAGUGUAAUCUGUUUCUAUGAAACAUGGGGUAUUUUGUAUCUAAACUUGGUAUUUUGCUGUUUGUAGUGCUUUGAAAUAUUGGGUUACAGAUUAAGAUAAUAUUUUGCUUUUAAGAAUAGAGGGGUGUGAAUGCCUUGGAGAA